rnacentral:rRNA from 1 species
UCGGUCCUACGGGGGGCAGCAGUGGGGAAUAUUGCACAAUGGAGGAAACUCUGAUGCAGCGAUGCCGCGUGAGGGAAGAAGGUUUUCGGAUUGUAAACCUCUGUCUUAAGGGACGAUAAUGACGGUACCUUAGGAGGAAGCUCCGGCUAACUACGUGCCAGCAGCCGCGGUAAUACGUAGGGGGCAAGCGUUAUCCGGAAUCACUGGGUGUAAAGGGAGCGUAGACGGCUGUGUAAGCCUGAAGUGAAAGGCGGGGGCCCAACCCCUGGACUGCUUUGGGAACUGUACGGCUGGAG